CGUGUAGGCGGUCCGCUAAGACAGGUGUGAAAUUCCUGGGCUCAACCCAGGACGUGCGCCUGUGACUGACGGACUUGAGUCCGGGAGAGGAUGGUGGAACUCCCAGUGUAGAGGUGAAAUUCGUAGAUAUUGGGAAGAACACCCGUGGCGAAGGCGGCCAUCUGGACCGGUACUGACGCUAAGGCGCGACAGCGUGGGGAGCAAACA
rnacentral:rRNA from 1 species